UUCGCACGACGCGGGAGCUCGGAGCACCGGGCUGAGAGGGCGCUGACGCCGCGGACAGAUCCGCGGUAUCCACGCUGCGCCGACCGCCGAACCUGUUACCGGGUAAUGCCGGCGUAGGGAGAUGGGUCUGAUGACCU
rnacentral:ncRNA from 1 species